rnacentral:rRNA from 1 species
UAGCAAGGGCCGGGCAAGACCGGUGCCAGCCGUCGCGGUAACACCGGCGGCCCGAGUGGUGAUCGUGAUUAUUGGGUCUAAAGGGUCCGUAGCCGGUUUGGUCAGUCCUCCGGGAAAUCUGACAGCUUAACUGUUAGGCUUUCGGAGGAUACUGCCAGACUUGGAACCGGGAGAGGUAAGAGGUACUACAGGGGUAGGAGUGAAAUCUUGUAAUCCCUGUGGGACCACCUGUGGCGAAGGCGUCUUACCAGAACGGGUUCGACGGUGAGGGACGAAAGCUGGGGGCACGAACCGGAUUAGAUACCCGGGUAGUCCCAGCCGUAAACGAUGCUCGCUAGGUGUCAGGCAUGGCGCGACCGUGUCUGGUGCCGCAGGGAAGCCGUGAAGCGAGCCACCUGGGAAGUACGGCCGCAAGGCUGAAACUUAAAGGAAUUGGCGGGGGAGCACAACAACGGGUGGAGCCUGCGGUUUAAUUGGACUCAACGCCGGACAACUCACCGGGGGCGACAGCAAUAUGUAGGCCAGGCUGAAGACCUUGCCUGAAUCGCUGAGAGGAAGUGCAUGGCC